UGAAGAGAGAGAGAGAAGACGUAGAAGUAGAAGAAGAAGAAGCAGACCCGA
rnacentral:sRNA from 1 species